AUUGAACGCUGGCGGCAGGCCUAACACAUGCAAGUCGAACGAGUGGCGGACGGGUGAGUAAUGUCUGGGAAACUGCCCGAUGGAGGGGGAUAACUACUGGAAACGGUAGCUAAUACCGCAUACCAUCGGAUUUGCCCAGUUGGGAUUUGCUAGUAGGUGGGGUAACGGCUCACCUAGGCGACUAUCCCUAGCUGGUCUGAGAGGAUGACCAGCCACACUGGAACUGAGACACGGUCCAGACUCCUACGGGAGGCAGCAGUGGGGAAUAUUGCACAAUGGGCGAAAGCCUGAUGCAGCCAUGCCGCGUGUAUGAAGAAGGCCUUCGGGUUGUAAAGUACUUUCAGCGGGGAGGCGUUACUCGCAGAGGAAGCACCGGCUAACUCCGUGCCAGCAGCCGCGGUAAUAC
rnacentral:rRNA from 1 species